rnacentral:rRNA from 1 species
UGCAAGUCGAGCGCGAAAGGCCUCCGGGCUGAGUAGAGCGGCGGACGGGUGAGUAACGCGUAGGAAUCUACCUGGUAGUGGGGGACAACAUGGUGAAAACCAUGCUAAUACCGCAUACGCCCUAAGGGGGAAAGCGGGGGACCUUCGGGCCUCGCGCUAUCAGAUGAGCCUGCGUAGGAUUAGCUUGUUGGUGAGGUAAAGGCUCACCAAGGCGACGAUCCUUAGCUGGUCUGAGAGGAUGAUCAGCCACACUGGAACUGAGACACGGUCCAGACUCCUACGGGAGGCAGCAGUGGGGAAUAUUGCGCAAUGGGCGAAAGCCUGACGCAGCCAUGCCGCGUGUGUGAAGAAGGCCUUCGGGUUGUAAAGCACUUUCAAUUGGGAAGAAAGGUUGCGUGUUAAUAGCACGUAGCUGUGACGUUACCUUUAGAAGAAGCACCGGCUAACUCCGUGCCAGCAGCCGCGGUAAUACGGAGGGUGCGAGCGUUAAUCGGAAUUACUGGGCGUAAAGCGCGCGUAGGCGGUUUGUUAAGUCGGAUGUGAAAUCCCCGGGCUCAACCUGGGAA